rnacentral:lncRNA from 1 species
UUUCUAUCAAGGGCUUCUCAUUGUCUAUUUUUAUUCCAGUAGAAACAGUACCCUUUCUUCCUGUGCUAACACCCUGGCGGCAACCAUCUUGCACAGCAUCCUCAGCCGGUGGCUUUGAAGUCUCCAGAGUUGCCUAAGAGCCCGGGCUGCACAGCUGGAAACCUGGAGGUUUUUGCUACCUCGUCCGCCCUCUGCUGGAUGGACCGACGUCUGCUUACGAAGUGGCCCACAAACAGCCGAAAGGUUUCCCCUUAAGAUGGAUGGGUUUGUCACUAAGCCACGGGAAAUCAUUUUGGGAUUUUAUAAAAUAAAUUUUUCUUUUUUUUCAGAGAUUUUUAGAAAUACACUUUCUUCUCUCCAGAUAUACAGGUGUACCAGUUUAUUCUGCCUAUGUGUUUGGAAAAAAACAGAGAAUUUGUCAGUGAAAACCAUGAAGGAUUCUAACAUCUCUCUCUGACAAUCAAAUGCUAUAUGUGCCCCUGCCCUGGCACUAAUGACCUG